rnacentral:ncRNA from 1 species
UUAUUAUUUUGUCGGUUAGCACUCCUCUUGAGAAGCUUGGAAGAGAUCCUAGUGGCCUUUACAACACAUAUAUGGUUAAGGCCCUGCCAUCUACUCUGUGGCAUCUAACCAAGUUUUUAG